AAACAUACAAUCAAUUCAAUGCAAAGUAGUUAGUACUUAACAAUGCCACAACAAAUAGCUACAUAUAUCAUCAUCUCGUUCGAAAACUUCAUCUUUGAUUUUAAAAUUCAUGUUUUUUUGUAAACUAAAAGCUAUAAAAAUAGUAACAUAUUCUAGAAACAUAAUAAAGAGUUAAUAAAAAAAAUAAUAAUGAGAUUCAUAAUCUUAUUUCAUAGAUGAUUUCACUUUGGUGUAGUUUAUGGUUAUCUUGGCCCAC
rnacentral:lncRNA from 1 species